UUACUAGAACUAGAAAGGUGUUGCGAGGCGCCCCGUCUCACGCUGGGGGCACUGCCUAACACUCCAAGAACGCGAAACGACAGCUCCUGGUGAAGUUUGGCUCCUCUCGCUGCCCGUCCGAGCCGCUGUUUCUCGUUGCCGUGGUGACGCUCCUGUGGUAGCAGCGCGGUGCAAGGCUCUCGUCCUCUCUCUGGAGCUCCCGACCCUCCGCUGUUGGCAGACACGGAAUUUCAGGGCAGAGGGACGGCCUCUCGAGAGGCGGCCAGAAAGGCGGAGGCUCCGUGAGGAACUUGACUGAACUUCAACUUUCAAAACAGAUAAGGCACUGUGGGAAGUAGAAUGUCGGAAGAUAUUGAAGAAAUUGAAAGACAACUAGAAAUGGAAUUAGACAGAAUCAGUGUUUCUUCGUUUGGAACAGAUGAUCUUGACUCAGAGGUAUCAGAGAAGCCCUCGAGUGACAGUGACACAGUUUCAGAUGACUUACCAGAAUCGGUUCUCUCCUAUUUAAACUUUAUCAAGAGCAGCAAUCAAGAUGCUGAAAGGCUUAUACUGCAGGACUUGGAAGGUGAGCAAAGUACAAGUAAGCAUUAGUCACAGUUGAGAUUUCUGUAUACCUCAUAUUGCCAGUGGAAGUUAGACCAACACACAUCAGUAAAAUAA
rnacentral:lncRNA from 12 species